UACGUAGGGUGCGAGCGUUAAUCGGAAUUACUGGGCGUAAAGCGUGCGCAGGCGGUUCGUUGUGUCUGCUGUGAAAUCCCCGGGCUCAACCUGGGAAUGGCAGUGGAAACUGGCGAGCUUGAGUGUGGCAGAGGGGGGUGGAAUUCCGCGUGUAGCAGUGAAAUGCGUAGAGAUGCGGAGGAACACCGAUGGCGAAGGCAGCCCCCUGGGCUGACACUGACGCUCAGGCACGAAAGCGUGGGGAGCAAACAGG
rnacentral:rRNA from 1 species